rnacentral:rRNA from 1 species
UACGUAGGGUGCGAGCGUUUAAUCGGAAUUACUGGGCGUAAAGCGUGCGCAGGCGGUUUUGUAAGUCAGAUGUGAAAUCCCCGGGCUUAACCUGGGAACUGCGUUUGAAACUACAAGGCUAGAGUGUGGCAGAGGGGGGUGGAAUUCCACGUGUAGCAGUGAAAUGCGUAGAGAUGUGGAGGAACACCGAUGGCGAAGGCAGCCCCCUGGGUUAACACUGACGCUCAGGCACGAAAGCGUGGGGAGCAAAC